rnacentral:rRNA from 1 species
CCUACGGGAGGCAGCAGUGAGGAAUAUUGGUCAAUGGACGAGAGUCUGAACCAGCCAAGUAGCGUGAAGGAUGACUGCCCUAUGGGUUGUAAACUUCUUUUAUAUGGGAAUAAAAUGUUCCACGUGUGGGAUUUUGUAUGUACCAUAUGAAUAAGGAUCGGCUAACUCCGUGCCAGCAGCCGCGGUAAUACGGAGGAUCCGAGCGUUAUCCGGAUUUAUUGGGUUUAAAGGGAGCGUAGGAGGAUUGUUAAGUCAGUUGUGAAAGUUUGCGGCUCAACCGUAAAAUUGCAGUUGAAACUGGCAGUCUUGAGUACAGUAGAGGUGGGCGGAAGUCGUGGUGUAGCGGUGAAAUGCUUAGAUAUCACGAAGAACUCCGAUUGCGAAGGCAGUUCACUGGACUGCAACUGACACUGAGGCUCGAAAGUGUGGGUAUCAAACAGGAUUAGAUACCCCAGUAGUC